GUUAUAGGGUCAAGCGAACAAGUGCAUGUGGUGGAUGCCUUGGCGAUCACAGGCGAUGAAGGACGCGGUAGCCUGCGAAAAGCUACGGGGAGCUGGCAAACGAGCUUUGAUCCGUAGAUGUCCGAAUGGGGAAACCCACUCCUUUUGGAGUAUCCAUGGCUGAAUACAUAGGC
rnacentral:rRNA from 1 species